rnacentral:lncRNA from 1 species
UCCUCCGCCUCCAUCUCCGGCCAUUCCACCACCAUCUCCUCCUCCCCCGCCAAAGGAAGACAAGAAGAAGAGUCUGAAAAUAUGGAGUGUGGCUUUGAUUGCAGCUGGUUCAGCCCUGGUUCCUUUCUUGGUCAUGCUUCUAUUCUGGUGUUGUUACAAAAAAGUUCAUGAAAAAGAAAAGUCAAACGAGGGGCAAGCAGGUAUUACUAAUUUUUACAGAAAAGUUCUGAAAUCAUUUUUACUAGUGCAUAUGUCCGCAUAUUAAAAAAUGCUUACAUUGUAAUUUUUUAUAUUGGGUGUACAUUAUUUGAACUUUAUUGGGUUUGAUUUAUUUGUGAGGCAGGGGAAGGAUCAGCACACUUGUCAGAGAAGAAAAUGCCGGAUUCUUGGAGCAUGGAGGAUCCAGAAAGAAGGGUAGAAUUGGAAUUUUUCGACAAGACCAUUCCGGUAUUUGACUUGGAUGAUUUGCUUAGAGCAUCAGCAGAAGUGUUAGGCAAGGGGAAAGUAGGCAGUACAUAUAAAGCGACAUUGGAAUCAGGUGCUGUUGUUGCUGUGAAGAGAGUCAAGAACAUGAAUGCAUUGAGCAAAAAGGAAUUUGUUCAGCAGAUGCAGCUGCUGGGAAAAUUAAAGCAUGAAAAUCUUGUCAAGAUUGUCUCAUUUUACUAUUCAAAAGAGGAAAAGCUGAUCAUAUAUGAGUUUUUGCCUAAUGGAAGCUUGUUUGAUCUUUUACAUGGUGAGUUCAGGUUCUUUUAUAGCUGUAUUUGAAUAUGUUUUCUUUUUCUUUUCUUUUCUUUUCUUUUUAAAAUAAAAUAUUACUUGUUAGCCAAUGUCUUCAACCGAAUUUUCAAUUUUAAUUCAACAAAAUUAUAAUGGAAUUUAAUACCUGAAAACUUGUAAAAAUGAUUUUAGAAAGCAGAGGAGUUGGAAGAAUACCUUUGGCUUGGACUACAAGGCUGUCAAUCAUCAAACAAACAGCUAAAGGUUUAGCUUUUCUUCACCAAACUUUACAUUCCCACAAGGUGCCUCACGCAAAUCUCAAGUCCUCAAACAUUCUGAUCUUUCGCAACAAUGACAUUUAUC